AGAGUUUGAUCAUGGCUCAGAUUGAACGCUGGCGGCAUGCCUUACACAUGCAAGUCGAACGGCAGCACGGGAGCAAUCCUGGUGGCGAGUGGCGAACGGGUGAGUAAUACAUCGGAACGUGCCCAAUCGUGGGGGAUAACGCAGCGAAAGCUGUGCUAAUACCGCAUACGAUCUACGGAUGAAAGCAGGGGACCGCAAGGCCUUGCGCGAAUGGAGCGGCCGAUGGCAGAUUAGGUAGUUGGUGGGGUAAAGGCUCACCAAGCCAACGAUCUGUAGCUGGUCUGAGAGGACGACCAGCCACACUGGGACUGAGACACGGCCCAGACUGCGACGGGAGGCAGCAGUGGGGAAUUUUGGACAAUGGGCGUAAGCCUGAUCCAGCCAUGCCGCGUG
rnacentral:rRNA from 1 species